AGAAAGAAAACACUUUAUUUGUAAAGAGAAAAUGGAACUUAGUACAUAUGCCAAAAUAAAUCUAUGAUGCAGGCCACUUCUCUGGGCCCCAUCUUGAGUAGGUUAAAGGGUUACCUUAGAGACUAGAAACACAAUUAAGAGGCACAAAUCCACACGGAGAAUAUGCAUAUUUUGUCUCCUUUCCCCCCAAAACAAGCUGCAUAUACUUGUGUAAACACUUGUUGAUUUGUAAAACAUGCCUAGUACUGCAGACAAAUGUGUGGGAUGAAAGGAAAUAAAAGCCAUGAAAACAGGGCCAGGUGCAGUGGUUCACGCCUGUAACCCCAAUGCUUUGGGAGGCUGAGGUGGAAUAAGUUCUCCUAGCUCAGAAGGAUCUCAACCUCUUGCAAGUUACUUUUCACUUUUAAGGGCCCUUAAAGAAGCAUUUGCUUAGCUCUAUAUCCAGGCAAUCUCUCCCUCCCCGAAGAGCAACAGAC
rnacentral:antisense_RNA from 1 species